GCUUUAGUAAGAAAAGGCACAGUUAAGAAAAAUAAUUGUAACGCAAGAAAAAAGUAACAAUUCGUUCAUAAUGCUUUCCUUAACAAUUAAUACAUCCCUUUGUUAAUUACAUUUAUUGUUUAGUAUUGCUUGAUUCAAAUGGCAUUUGCGAGAAAUGAGGCACCCCCCUUGGUGUCUUCCCUACACUGGAGCAACAUAAGCAAUGCGAAGCAUCCUCAUUCAGCUUUUUGAGCUUCAGGACUUAAGCACGCCUUAAAUAAGCCUUUGAAGUUUGACCACACUGCUUAUGUCAUUCUUGGUGGUUAGCUCUUGCUGUAUCUCUUAUAAUUCAAUGGCUUCUCUAUUGAGUGUUAUGCUUGAAUUGAUAUAAUAAUCAUGAGUUUUUAUCGAUGUGUUUGACCUACCACGAAGGAAGGGUGUUAGAGGUACUUUGUAGAAACACUAGCAUGCUGAAUGUGUAUCAUUAAACUUAAUAUGCUCAAUGUGGUUACCUUUUUUAAUUUGUGAAGGAAUGAUUCUUGGGCCUUUUUGAUUUCUGAUGUACUUCUCUAUUUGGUAGUAACCUACAUGUGCGUUGAAAGAGAACAUGUAUUUGCUAAGUUUGGCAAUGGGGUAGGGCAGCACUGAGCUGAGGCUAGGCAAAGCAUAAAUAGUGAAGCGAAGAUGAGUUCUUAGGCGAAGGGGAUGGGGUGGUGCUGGUCAAAUACUCAAAUUCAUUUUUAAAAAAUAGUGGGGGAAUUGAUAAAGUUAGCUCUCUCAGUCUUCAAGCCUGAAUGCCAAAGUGAAAACUCAGUUUUGGGAGCCAUUGUUGCUGGCAGGUGUUACCUUCUGCAAAUCCAUUGUCUACAGCUUCCUCAAAGCCAUUCUUGAUGGUAAAACUGCUUCCCUUGGUUUAUCUUUUUUUGCUUCUUUCACUUCUUUCUUUAUUUUUUCGAAUGUUGGUCUAGGUUUAUUCAACUUUUAUUUAACUUAGCUUGACCUUAGUAUAUUUGUAAUGGAAGACAUAUUAUGAUUUCGUAAUAUAGUUUCCCUUUGGUUUUUAGUGUUGUGGAUUGAAUAUGAUUUUGUCUUAGAUGAAUAACUUGUGGGUUUUGGAUAGAUGAAUUACCAUAGCUCAAUUUCAGGAUGUGCAAUAUCAGUUUGAGCAGAGACAAGAUAUUUUAACUUCUUGAAGCAUAAGGUUGAUGAUUGAGUGAACUAUUUUCUAAAAUAUAGGUGAAAGAAGAAAACAUUGAAGAUAAGGAAAAAAUAUGUACCUCCACUAAUUAGAAAGUACCAACCUUAUCUUCUUAUAUAAUUGAAGAAAGACUUGAACUACUGUCAGGCAAUGGUUGACGCAUUCUUCCA
rnacentral:lncRNA from 1 species